AUUCUUUCGCAGAGGCGAUAUCAUAGCCUAUGAAGUCCAUCUGAGGUGUGAUUAUUGCUGGUUGAAAACUUAACCCAAUACCCCGCUUGGGAUGACUUGAAAGCUGGUUUGCAG
rnacentral:snRNA from 13 species